rnacentral:rRNA from 1 species
GGGGGAUAUUGCACAAUGGGGGAAACCCUGAUGCAGCGACGCCGCGUGAGGGAAGACGGUUUUCGGAUUGUAAACCUCUGUCUUCAGGGACGAAAUCAAUGACGGUACCUGAGGAGGAAGCCACGGCUAACUACGUGCCAGCAGCCGCGGUAAUACGUAGGUGGCAAGCGUUGUCCGGAAUUACUGGGUGUAAAGGGAGCGUAGGCGGGAAUGCAAGUUGAAUGUUUAAACUAUCGGCUCAACUGAUAAUCGCGUUCAAAACUGCAUUUCUUGAGUGGAGUAGAGGCAGGCGGAAUUCCUAGUGUAGCGGUGAAAUGCGUAGAUAUUAGGAGGAACACCAGUGGCGAAGGCGGCCUGCUGGGCUCUAACUGACGCUGAGGCUCGAAAGCGUGGGUAGCAAACA